UUCUUUCCUCCCGAGUGCUUGCACUCAAUUGGAAAGAGGAGUGGCGGACGGGUGAGUAACACGUGGGUAACCUACCCAUCAGAGGGGGAUAACACUUGGAAACAGGUGCUAAUACCGCAUAACAGUUUAUGCCGCAUGGCAUAAGAGUGAAAGGCGCUUUCGGGUGUCGCUGAUGGAUGGACCCGCGGUGCAUUAGCUAGUUGGUGAGGUAACGGCUCACCAAGGCUACGAUGCAUAGCCGACCUGAGAGGGUGAUCGGCCACACUGGGACUGAGACACGGCCCAGACUCCUACGGGAGGCAGCAGUAGGGAAUCUUCGGCAAUGGACGAAAGUCUGACCGAGCAACGCCGCGUGAGUGAAGAAGGUUUUCGGAUCGUAAAACUCUGUUGUUAGAGAAGAACAAGGACGUUAGUAACUGAACGUCCCCUGACGGUAUCUAACCAGAAAGCCACGGCUAACUACGUGCCAGCAGCCGCGGUAAUACGUAGGUGGCAAGCGUUGUCCGGAUUUAUUGGGCGUAAAGCGAGCGCAGGCGGUUUCUUAAGUCUGAUGUGAAAGCCCCCGGCUCAACCGGGGAGGGUCAUUGGAAACUGGGAGACUUGAGUGCAGAAGAGGAGAGUGGAAUUCCAUGUGUAGCGGUGAAAUGCGUAGAUAUAUGGAGGAACACCAGUGGCGAAGGCGGCUCUCUGGUCUGUAACUGACG
rnacentral:rRNA from 1 species